UGGUUCAGUGGUAGAAUUCUUGCCUUCCAUGCAGGAGACCUAGGUUUCAUUCCCAG
rnacentral:tRNA from 1 species